rnacentral:lncRNA from 1 species
GCUUGGUGAAUUAUGCUGUUGCAGCUUAGUAGUCUUACUUGUGCUGCCUAAAAUACAUGUCAAGGUAGGGGACACAGUCAAACUUAUCACAGGCCAUGAGAAAGGUAAGAAUGGGAAGAUAGCAUACGAACAGCAGUUUGUGAAGGUUGGCGUUCUCCUUCCUAGAAUUUAUAUUUGUAAAUGGAUAGGUGGCAGGAUCAAAAAAUUUCUUCUCUUGGACUGGUAUUUCCUUCUUUUCCCUUCUCUCCCCAGGUGCAGUGCCUGAAGUUGACCUGCACUAUGAAUAGUUACGAAACAGAUCGAAGCACCUAACCAUAGCUCAAUUCUGAUGCUUUAUUCUAAGAAAAAAAACAGAUGUAGCAAGCAGAGUGGGUCAUGAAAUCUUCGAGGAGAAUAGGAGGAGAAUUGCAACCCUUCCACAUAUUAGGAACGGGUCGGCACUAAGAAGAAUGGUGAAUUAGUAUAACGGUAAAAAUUACAUCUUCAACAAACUUUUCGUUGCGAUAAAACCGAUUUCAUAAAGAUGUUAACUUGAAAUUGUACAAAAAUGUAGUGAAGGAGGAAUUCAGUUUGUAGUAAGGUAAAUAGCAAGAAUAAAACGUAAACCAGAUUUUAGAGUGGUUCGGUCGUCGUGACCUACAUCCACUUUGCCGAUUCCUCUUUCGUUGAUGCCACUAGCAUCCAUUAUUGAUCUUCUUUCAAUGGGCGAAGAUCAACUAUCCUUUUACACCCCUUUUCUCUUUUUUACGGGUUUAAGAGACAACCUUUACAAGCACUCACUCCUCUCCUACAGAAUUCUAAACUUAGAGUGGAGGAGGAAAUUUCUAAAGAGAUUGCAGCAGCGUUUCUUCACUUUUAAACUCUCUGUGCUUGUGUGCUUUAACCAAGGAUGAGAGGCGUAUUUAUAGGCUUCAAGUUGAUUCAAACUUGGAGCCUAAAAACAUCUCAUCCCAAGUUUCUCGAGCACGGGCGGUACCACCGCUAGUGUCAGUCUAACACUGGGCAGUACCAUUGCUUGGAGACUGUGCUGGGCGGUACUACCGCCCAGACUGGUGGUACCACCGCCUACAACCUCUCGGAGGCUGUGUUUGGGCGGUACCACCGCUUGACAUAGUCUCGGAGAUUGUGCCACGACAACGGUGCCACCUCAUGGGUCACUGUUUGGGCCUCUCAUUGAGUCCAAUACAAUCCUUACAUGGGCCCAACUAGCCCCUAAUUGGGUUGGCCCAAAUCUAAACCCAAUUACGUGCUAACUACGAUUCCUAAGACAUAUUCUAAGCUAAACAAGUCCGUGAGUCUAGUUUCUUUCGGCGAUCUUCUGGUGAACUUUCGAUGAUCUCUCGACAAUGUUCCGGCGAACUCCUGGCAAGCUCCUAGACUUCACGACGAUCUUCUUGGCGAGUUCCGAUGAGCUUCUCUGGCAAGCUCUGAGACUUUUCGGCUGGUUCCGAUAAAACUUCCGACGAACGUCCAGACUUCCGACGAACUCUCGAUCUCCCAACGAAAUAAUGUCCUUGACUCCGGGACUUCAUUUUGCUUCAUGCCUUGCUAUCGUAGUUAAUCCUACACAUGUAAAACACACUUCGAUCUAGACAAUUAAUAUUAAGUAUCGAAUCAUGUUGUCCGACAUGUCAUUGGUCCAUCGACGCUUCGUCCGAUCCUUCGAUGCUUUGUCCGAUCCUUCGACGCAUCGUCCUCUCUUGCGGCCUAUUGUCCAAUCAGCCAGUUGACUCCGCAACUUCGAUAUCUUUGGCGUAAUAUUUUCUCUUAUUGGCUCGAUGUCCGAAUCUAUAGCUUGAAGCCUUCUGUCGAUACGUCGAUCGAUCCACCGGUUCGACGUCCAAUCUUUUGACAUAUUUUCUCCCGGCCCAGCAUAAUUCUUCCUGCUUUAAUUGUCUCAUCCUGAUCGAAGUAUCCUGCGUCACUCAAAACGUAUAUUAAAUUAUAAACACUUAUCAAUUGAUUUCAUCAUCAAAAUCCAAGAUUCAACACCACCUUCCACCUUCCGUCGGUAAAAGAAGCUCACUCAUAUGAGAUAAGAUAAGGAGAGAGAGCCAUAUGAAUAGGGAGACUCAAACAAAAAGAUACGAUAACCUCAUGUAAAGUUUCUUUACUCUAAAUCUAAUUAGAAUUACUUUCUUUCUUCUUUGUCUGGAGGCCCUGUUUUGUAGGUUUCGCUGAGAGGAAUCACUCUCGAGCGCUAUUUCGUACUGAUUCUUGGAUCGAUAAAGCUCUUCUUAGAUUGUCUUACCAAAUUUUUGGGCCGACAAAGCCCUUCUGAUAUUGCCUUACGAUACAAAAUUUACAAAAGGAAUCCAAUUGUUUUCAUUCGUCACCGUGACGGAUGACUUAUACAUGAUUCGAUAACCUCAUCAAAUAUAUAUUUAAUAUAGAUAAAAUAUCAGCAAUAGAAUGUUACAUCAAUGCAUACCACCUCUGGAAACAAUCUUUUCUAGUUGUUUUAUGAAUGGGUAAGACGAAACUGACAAAUCAUUUCCAAAUCAAAUUUCACUUAUAGUCAGGUCAAACCAAAAUAAUCAUAAUUUUAUGGUUAGGAGUGGCUUUUACCUUAAAUUAGAGAUGCCAUCCAUAUUAAUACAACUAAAAGAUCUCUCAAGCAGUAGAUUAGUACGUAGAUGGAGAAUAGCGGGUAUUGCUAAAUGGAGUAUAUACAAAUGUAAGUUCUCACAAGCAGUGCCGUAAUCACUAGAGUAAUGCUAAAAGUAAUGAUAUGCCAUGAACACAACUUCACCUAACAUACUGAUGUAUAAGAAGGCUAACUUAGGAGGCACUAAUAAUAUCACAUUGACCAAGGAAGAGUUGCCUUUUCGUGUUCAAUUUGACAAGUUCAUGUGCCAAAAAAAAGAAACACUAUCGAAUAUUUCAGAAAAGCAAGUGAGCUAUCGAGGAUAAGCCAUUAAAUGGUGUGUUAGGCCAAAUAGAUCAAAUAGGCACCCCUCCUCGCAUUUUCUAACGGAGUCUAUUUCUUCCAACUGGAAGGUCCCAAUAAGUUAAUCUCAUAUAUCGAUUGAAAAGCAGAAAAGCUAAUAUUUUUAUAUUUGUCCUUUGGGGCCAUCUAUAAUGGAUAAAAAGUCCAUCCAAAAUAAACAAUUCCUACGACCUCAAAUCUAAUAUUUUUAUUCUUCUAAUACAACAUUUAUCUAAAACAGUUGGAGGGUUUAAUAAAAUUGAUACUCACCAAGCUAAGAAAUUGAAAUCCUCUAAAAAUCUCUCUCUGCAAUUCCACAUCCCUCUCUUGGUCCAGUCCUUGCGUGCAAGCAUGCACUCGACGUACUCCCUAACGUACCCCCAACAAUUCCUGACUUCCCUAACGCUUACAUAGCAACAAGAACACAUGAAAGGCAUGCCUUUUCUUUAACAAUGUGAUGAACAUAGACUUGCCUUCUUAACAUUCAUUUAUUUAUAUGCAGCCAUCUUUUACAACAAGUUAGGUUGGCUUUGCUUCGUCAAACAUCCAAUCCCACAGGGACCCCCAUUCAUUGUGUUGGACUUCUUCAAGACGCAACACAUGUAUUCUAUGUUGUUUACAAGGUCAGCAGUCAAAUUGCCUCUUACACCCUUCCACGAAGGCUUAUCUGCACUAUAAUAUUAAAACAAAAUCUAACCAGGAUUUUGGUUAAAAAAUAAUAAAUUUCAUUUAAAAUUAAAAAAAAAAGGUUUAGAAAAAUAAAACCCAAAGACGCCAAAGCAAUUCCAACCACAAAACAGAACUGAGGCCCCCUCUUAUCUAACCACAAAACAUCAUGAACGAACAUGAAGACAAAUAAAUACGCCUUCUGCUUUUUCUAGACUUUGUUGGUAGCGACUGACUACAUAAACAAGAGGGCCUAAAUACUCUUCGUAUAGAGGUCCAAUGAUUACAUGAUUGGGGCUUUAAUAGUCUCAAUCACUAAAAUAUUCACGGCUCCAAGAUAGAUUAAUCGAUGGGACUUAAUAAGUUUAAGGUCGCACCCUUAAGACUUUCUUGCCCGCCCAUUCAAGCCCCAAAGAGUCUGUGAAGGGAAGGCAAACAUCCUACUUGUGGGACUAAAAACUCAUGCAAAACAGAGAAGAGAAUAAUAAAAAGGAAAGAGAAAAGGAGAGAAGAAAAUUUUAUGGUAUAAUACUUAUGAAAGCACGUGUGUUACGGGGAAAUUAAGCUCGUUUAAACCAAAGGAAAGAUGUGGCAUGUUCCUUGACACAUCUUCCUUACACCUCAGGUCAUGUCGACCUUAUCGGUGAACUGCACACGUCAGAGGCAGGUGUGAUAUAGAAAGAGACGUCUCAGACCCGAAUAAAUAUUAAAAGACAAGUUUGGUGCACGAAACAAGAUUCUGAUGUGAUGCAUUGUGCUUGCGUACGGUGGAUUUAGCCAUUCUUUCUUAAAAAUCCGGAUUCGACUCAAUUUAGCAUUUGCUCCAAAAUAAUAAUAAUAAUAAUAAUAAUAAUAUAUUAGUCUAACCUGGACAUACAUCGCCAUGUCCAUCAUAUGCCCAAAAGAUGUUGGAGGUUGAUGCGGAAGAGGCACGUCUUCGGUGUGUUUUCAUGUUGUGCUCGAUCACCUGCGCAAAGAACGUGUUCAGUGUGUUUUCAUGUACAACAACAACGUCGAGCUCGCACUGCAACAGUAACCGUAACGUUCCAGUGCACUGUACUGAUACAGUGCACUGCUACAGUCGGACCGGUAGCGUUACACUGUAGCAGUGCCGUUAGCCUAUCGGACCGUACCGCCCGUACCGGGCGGUACGAUUCGGUAUGGCAGACUCGUCACUCCAACAAAAGUUUUGCUUCGUCAAACAUUCAAUCUCCAAAACACAUUGUUCCACCUGCACCUCUUUAAUACUAAAUGCAUAAAUACUAUGCACCUGCAAGAAACAGCAUAACACACAAGCUUCCCAAGCUUAGCAAGUCCAUGACAGCGUUAGCAAUACUCUAUAUCCUUGUUAGUAUCGUUGCAACCAGUGAGGCUAUCAGAAGAGAUGACUUCCCCAGUGGUUUCGUUUUCGGAACAGCUUCUUCAGCUUACCAGGUGUGAGGUCAUGCAGAAAUGUCUCUUUUACAUUCAGCUGCAUCUUGCUCUGCACAAGUUAAUGGAGUUGCUGAUAACCUUAGUUUGAAGGAGCUGCUGGUGAGGGGAACAGGGGAAAAAGUAUAUGGGAUACUUUCACAAGACGACCAGGUAUGACUUGCGUUGAGAGAGACAAAAGCACUCAUAUUCUGAAUUCUGUUUCGUAAGCUUGAAAGUGUUUUUGGCAGGGAGGAUUUUGGACUUCAGCAAUGCAGAUGUGGCAGUCGAUCAGUACCAUCGGUACAAGGUGAACUCUGGAAUACUCAGAUCAUUCAUGAGUAGUCAUCUGUGGAUGUUCCAUGUUAGAUUCUGUUAAAAAUAUAGAUCAUUAGAUCAUGUCCCAUCUACAAGCAUAAGAUUUUAGAUGGAAUGACAUUGAUUAAAAUUUAAAAUGGUAUCAAUGAUCAAAGUUAAAGAUCCAUAGUUCAAAUCUCAACAUGACCAUCUUAUAAGAAAAGUCCUAAUUAAGAGACACAUAUUGAAUCGAGUCAUCCGUGGCCUACAUGUUAUUUCCAAUUUAUUUGUACAUUUGAUGACUUACCAACACGAUAUACUUUGAUUAGCUCGAGUUUUGCAUGAAUUUUAAAUUUAUUUUGUUUUUUAUUGUCAAGAGCAACUCCUAGUGGUUCUGAAAUAGAAAAAAGUCCCCUUCUUCAUGGACUCUUAAGGGAUCAUCAGUAGCUUUUAGAUCAUGCACUGUUUAAUCCAAUAGCUAAAUACUGAAAGUAAGAUUGGUGCAAAUGAAAGAUAACUCGUAAAAGAUUGCCUUACCACAAAAGAAGCAUUGUUCUUGCUGAUAUGUACCAGAAGACUAUUUUUUAUCUCAUAGAUAGUGUUCAAGUCUAAGAUGCUGCAUUCUUCUCAUAAGUCCAUAAGAGUCAAUGCAUAGUCAAGGUGGAACUUGAUGGAUUCCAUGGCCGAUAAUCUUAUGAUCCAGAAAGUUAAACAUCUGAAAGAUGCACGAUAAUUAAUUUCCCUAUUUACAUAAGAAGAAGAUUUGAUUUUUCUGACAUUGUUAGGACAUACUAUUUAGUCAACGGUAAUCGUGUGGAAGAGCAUUUAAUUGUACUCGAGCUAGCAGAAACCUAUCCUACUAGUACCUAUAUUAGUUGGUUGAGCCACAACACUUGUUUAUACUUUAAGGCUGAAAGUUCAGUCUCUAAAUCAACCAUAACACUUAGAAAAUAAAAUAAAAUCAACAAAAAAGGUUCAAAAGUAAACUAAGGGGAAAAAAAGAUGAAAGAGGUGCAAAAAUAAGCUGAGCACUCAAAUAGGGAACUAACAUCAUCAAAUACCAUUCUCCUGAUCAAUUUCUGUGGACAUAGAUAAGCGAAGGGAAGUUUUCACUUAUCAACUUGUCCUGUAGCUAUUUUAUCUUAAAAAUGCCUCUCAGUUACAUGAUUUAUUUCUCUGUAGGGUGGGUCUCCACUCAAGAACUGUUAGUAUUUAAUGAGCAAAUUCUGUUGUCAAGAGAACUGACAUGUUCCCUCUUGGAUCAAAACCUCAUCAUAGGCAAAAUUCUUAGUUGAUCAUUUGAGUGUCUUGAAAAUCUCAUCUAAAAAUGUUAAGGCUUUUUAUGCUUUUGGAUCAGAAACCUUUUAUUGCAAAUCAAAGGUGAACUUUUUGCAAUAAAAGUUCUGCCUUAACCUUAGUCUCCUUUUUUUUUAAACUUCAAAAAUCAUAUGACUGAUGGCCGUUCUCGUAGCAAACUCAAAACUUCUGUUUCACUCAACCAAUUCAUUUUGGAAGAUCUCAUGAGACACAAAAGUUCAAGAUUAUCUAAAAAACUGUAAAAUACUGCAUUGUGUAAAAUAAUCUAAAAUUUGCCCAAACACAACAAAUCGAAAACCAUCAGGCUUUUGUCAUCACCACCAUAAAGCACAUAUGUAAUCAUUUAAUGCUUUGUCAAGACAAUAUUCAUGUGUUAGAGAGAUUGAAGGAAGAUUAAUGAAAAGAACGCCCGGCUAAAAGUUGUUCAAGAAUAGUGGCAUUAACUUUCUUGACUCUCUUCUUUCCUAGCUCCUUCCUUUUUCUUUUGAGACACCUUCAGAUGGAAGUCUACAUGAUUAACUCAAAGUAUUUGUUGAUCAAAAUUUUUCCAACCAUGUUUGUGAGCUUCGUAAACCAAUCCAUGGUCUCAAGCAGGCUUCACGUGAGAAUAGUCCCAUGUUGCUAAGGACUAAAAGAGUCAAAUGACAUAUAAUGAGUUUGAUCCAUAACUUAGUAAGUUUAAGUUUUGUAAUUGUAUUGGUCUCCGAACUCAUGUACAUUAGCCAUGACUAAAAAAAUCUGAGCCAUGACCGAAAAAAUCUGAGUAUGGUAUCAAAGUUAAGAUUUAUCAAAAUAAUAAUAAUAAACGACUGAAAAAAAAGAGAAGCAACUAGAUAUGGUUGCACCCAAGCGAAAAAAACGUCUACACACAAAAUAACCUAUCCUUAUAAGUAGAAGACAAUUAAGCCACACAUGAAGUUGCACUCAAGUGAAAAAAAAGUCUACAUGAAAUAUGACCUAUCCUUACAAAUAAGUAGAAGACAAUUAAGACACCCAUGAAUAAAAGGGGAUGCUAAGACAAUAUUUAUGAAAGAGAUUGAAAGAGGACUUAAAGAAUAAUCUCAUAUUGUUAAAGUUGAAAGAGUCAACUAAUAUACAUUGGAUUUGGUUCAUAACUUGAUAAGUUUUGCAUUGACGUUCAAUCUCAUGUGCAUCAAACCUGAAUAAUUUGAUUUAGAUUUCUUGUCAAUUUUAAAAUGUCAAUGUCUCCCAUCACUUUUCAUGCACUUGAUUGCUUCACACUCUUGGACUUUUAGAUAAGAUUUUGGUUCUUGCACUGGAUGCCUAGAAUAACCAUCCGCUCUAAUACCGUUAACUAGUAGCUUACAGCAAAAUCAGAGAUUUCGCUCACAUGUUAAUAUUGUCUUGUUAGUAUUCUUAACACAAAAGCCUUGUUUCUUUUCUUCAUAGGCAGAAUGGUGACCAACUUCAGUAAAUAUAUUACCCAUAUCAUUUCAUAAUAGCAAGAUAUAUUAUUCUUUUUGUACAGAGCGACGUGGAUUUGAUGAAGGGCAUGGGAAUGGAUGCCUACAGGUUCUCUAUCUCAUGGUCACGGAUCUUCCCAAGUAAUAUGAAGCUGGCCUAUUGGUACUAGACAUAUUUAAACCCUAUCUUGGAUAAAAUAACAGCCUUUCCUGUUCACAGAUGGAACAGGAGAACCUAAUCAAGAAGGAAUAAGCUACUAUAACAGACUCAUAGACACUCUACUACAAAAAGGUAGCUUUUAAAAAGGUUCUUUGAAGGAUCUCCUGAAGUUUUGAGGCUGAUAACUAUUAUUAUUAUUUUGUUGUUGUUACAGGAAUACAACCUUAUGUUACACUCUUCCACUGGGAUCUUCCACAAGCUCUAGAGGACCGAUACAACGGAUGGCUGAGCCAAGAGAUCAUGUAAGGAUUAUAUCGAAUCUUUAUUUAAUCGGCCACAGUGUUCAGGAAAAGAUAGGUAAAACUCACUCUAAAAUGCAGACAAGAUUUCAAGCAUUACGCCUAUACUUGUUUCAAAGCAUUUGGAGAUAGAGUGAAGCAUUGGAUCACCUUCAACGAGCCUCAUGGAUUCUCAAUUCAAGGAUAUGACACAGGUCUGCAAGCUCCGGGAAGGUGUUCUAUUCUAAUACACAUGCUAUGUCGGAGAGGCAAGUCAUCAAUUGAACCAUAUAUUGUUGCUCACAACAUCCUAUUAUCUCACGCUGCUGCUUUUCAUACAUACAAGCUCAACUUCAAGGUAAACCAUGCUUUUCUUGUCGCAGCCAACUUUUUAUUACUGGUCAAUGAAUAAGAAAAAGCAAGAUAAGAAGCUAACUUUAAUGUGUAGGAAAAGCAAAAGGGUGUUAUUGGAAUUGCUCUUGAUUCCAAGUGGUAUGAACCUAUAUCUGGUGCUAAAGAAGACCUAGAUGCUGCUAAUAGAGCCAUGGAAUUCGAACUAGGAUGGUAAUCUGCUACUGAUUUCUGAAUAUAUGAGAACCCUACUUCAUUGAUUGACAACUUACGGUGACUGUGGAUCCCCAAGCAGGUUCUUGAAUCCUCUUAUCUUUGGGGAUUAUCCUCUCUCCAUGAAGAAUCUUGUACGAAGCAGACUACCCAGAUUUACUAGUGAUGACUCUACGUCAUUGGCUGGUUCUUUGGAUUUUUUAGGCAUAAAUCACUACACCACAUUAUAUGCUCGGAAUGAUCGGACAAGAAUCAGGAAGCUGGUACUGAAUGAUGCAUUAGCUGAUGCACUUGUCAUCACGACAUGUAUGAUAGAGUCACUAAAAUACUUAAUUAAUCUUCAGCGAUAUGGAAUUUAAACUUCUAUAAUGUUUGUAACAGCUUCUCGAAAUGGAGAGAGGAUUGGUGAAAGAGUAAGUCACAAUACUUAUGCUUCUAAUCACUUUUGAACUAAUGCUCAGGUUUAGGAAUCAUCACUUAAUUAUUCUUUCAGGCUGCAUCAGGAUGGCUUCACAUUGUCCCAUGGGGUAUCCGCAAGUCAAUGAAUUAUAUCAAGGAAAACUAUGCGAACCCAUUGGUUAUAAUAACAGAGAAUGGUACAAACAAAGUGAUUGAAUCAGGAAUAUAGCUCUCCUUUUCGAGAAAUCUUACAAGAAACAUUUGGUGUUGUAGGCAUGGAUGAUCCAAAUUUCACUACCCUCGACAAAGCACUGAAGGAUGAUAAGCGGAUACGCUAUCAUGCUGACUACCUCUCAAACCUGCAAGCUGCUAUAUGGUAAUUUACUGUGCAUUAGUUCACCUGAGGGUGUCAGGAUCAGCAUAACAAUCUUCAGCUCCAUUACUUUUUUUCCUACAAUUAACUAAGAUGAAUUAAUGCAGGGAGGACGGUUGCAAUGUACAUGGCUACUUCGUGUGGUCGCUACUAGAUAAUUGGGAAUGGAACUCAGGGUUUACAGUUCGAUUUGGCCUCUACUAUGUCGACUACAAGAGCAACCUAACUAGGAUACCGAAAGCCUCAGUUCAGUGGUUCAAACACGUUCUAGAAAAGAAUGACACGCUUGCGCAGAAAGGAAUCACAUUUAAAGAUCAGAUUGGAUGACUUGUUAAUGUAGAUUCAACAAUUUACCAUCCCUUAUAUAUUUCUCUUGGUUCCAUUGAGCAGUCAAGCAUGAGAAUAGUAAACGCCAAAUGUCUGGGACCAAAGUAACAAGUUCAAAUGCAAUCAAUUUCUUGUGGGAAAUUUGGAAUAUGUAAUCAAUGAAGAGCAUCAAGAACAGAACAACCACUUUUACUGCACUGGAACUAACAGUCUAAAAUCAGAAGCGGAAAUCUCGAUGGAUUCCAAAGCACAAAGAAGGAAUCUCGAUGAAUUUACCUAAAAUUUUGGUGGGAGAAGCGAUUUAGCCUCCUCUUUUCUUGAUCACCCAAUCAACCAAAUCCCUCCCCCGUUUCGUUGCUCAGCCAACUCCAAGACGCCAUCGAAUAGCUUUUAAAGCACUAUUCCGAAUUGGGAUUCAGGGCGAUAUUGCGGCAAACCACGCCAUGUUUUCGAGGCCGACGAAGCGGGGGCGUAAACGGGUCGCAUUAUUAGGAAAAGUAAUCCGAACAAAUUAUUCGUGUU